rnacentral:lncRNA from 1 species
GGCGGACGCGGGGCGCGGACUACGCUCUCCAGGGUGCCGCGGGGCGGCGGCGCGGUGCGCAGGCGCCGGCGGGCCGGUGUUGUUUUGAGACGGCGUCACUGGAGGCUGGAGCCGGCGGCGCCCCUCGUCCGUCCCGAGCCCCGCUGGGGGCCGCGCUGAGACAGAUUGGAUCAGCUUCUGGCCCAGUGAAGACACAUCUCUGUAAGUUUCUUAAAUACAGUUUGGGAAUGCUCCAUGUUUAUGGUGUUAGGUUACUUGCUAUGUUCUUCUAGCUUUUAUCUGUAUGAAAUGUAUUUCAGCUGCAAAAAAUCCUCAAAAUCUACCUACAACCAUUUAAUGUGAUUUAUAAGAGUAUGUAAUGGUUUAAGUUAUGCAGCAUAGUUACAUUUUUAUUCUGCAGUUUCUAAUGUAUCUGAGGUGGAAGAAAAUGAGUUUUUGUAUUAUAUGAUAACAUAGGCUGUAAAGUGAAAACUUCCAAAUUUGAACACUGUCUUUAAUAUUAAAUUAUUACUUUGGUAACUGUUCUGAUGCAUAGAGAGAUUUUCUGUUUCCUGUUUGAUGUAUAGACUGGAAUAUAUUUACUGCAUGACAGUUCUUUUGCCUAAUCCAAAUUGCUGAGUUAGACAAGGUCUUUCAAGAUUGCAACAUUUUUUUUUUCAGGUAGACAAUCAGGCUGACUUAAUUCCUCCACCGAAUAUGUCCUGUGAAGCUAGAGGAGGCCUCUGAGCAAAACUUUAUUUCUGAAAACUGGAGCAAAUUUCGUGGCUCUUUAUCCCUGUUGCAGUUGUACUAGAUCCAUUAGCAUCUUCAUAAUUUGAUAGUAAAUUUGCGUGGUUUUUUUUUGUCCGUCCUGCCCAAAACUACUUUUUUUUUUUUUGAAUACCCUCCGUCUAAGAAGGCAAUGCCAACAGUAUCCAGCAUCUCUGGGCUGUUAGAAAAAAAGUCUAUCUGCUCUUAGCGGGUCUUUGUCCUUUGGUGACUGAGAAUACAAGCUGGAGAGGAUUUUGUGAGGAGGUGAAUCUGGCCAUUGAGCUAAGGUUAGUCUUUAUUCCCGUAGUAAACUGAAAUACAGUAUUUGAUCUUGGAUUUAGUUAUGACUCUGUUAUGCUUUAUUAACCUUACUUUACAGAAAUAUGCCAUUUACUCUAUUUGCUGAUUACAGUUAAUGUGAGUACUGUAUCUAGAUAUUGUGCUUUUUUUUUUUUGUUAAAGCUUCUCAGGCUGUUUUAUUCUUUUAGAGCUAAUUAUAAUUAAUAAAAGGCCUUACCUUUGAUAACCA